rnacentral:rRNA from 1 species
UACGUAGGCAGCAAGCGUUGUUCGGAGUUACUGGGCGUAAAGAGCUCGUAGGCGGAUAUUUAAGUCAGGGGUGAAAUCCCAGAGCUCAACUCUGGAACUGCCUUUGAUACUGGGUAUCUUGAGUAUGGUAGGGGUAGAGGGAAUUUCCAGUGGAGCGGUGAAAUGCGUAGAUAUUGGAAAGACCACCAAUGGCGAAGGCACUCUACUGGGCCAUUACUGACACUGAGAGACGAAAGCUAGGGGAGCAAAUGGG